rnacentral:lncRNA from 1 species
CACCUAUCCAUCUUUCUACCCCCCUGCCUCUGCAUGUCACUGUCCAGCCAUCCAUCUACUCACUCACUACUCUAACUGUCCACCCAUCCAUCUACUCACUCACUACUCUAACUGUCCAGCCAUCCAUCUACUCACUCACUACUCUAACUGUCCACCCAUCCAUCUACUCACUCACUACUCUAACUGUCCACCCAUCCAUCUACUCACUCACUACUCUAACUGUCCACCCAUCCAUCUACUCACUCACUACUCUAACUGUUCACCCAUCCAUCUUCUCACUCACUACUCUGUCCACCCAUCCAUCUACUCACUCACUACUCUAACUGUCCACCCAUCCAUCCACUCACUCACUACUCUAACUGUUCACCCAUCCAUCUUCUCACUCACUACUCUAACUGUUCACCCAUCCAUCUACUCACUCACUACUCUGUCACCCAUCCAUCUACUCACUCACUACUCUAACUGUCCACCCAUCCAUCUACUCACUCACUACUCUAACUGUUCACCCAUCCAUCUACUCACUCACUACUCUGUCCACCCACCCAUCUACUCACUCA